rnacentral:rRNA from 1 species
AGUGAACGCUGGCGGUAGGCCUAACACAUGCAAGUCGAACGGCAGCACAGUAAGAGCUUGCUCUUACGGGUGGCGAGUGGCGGACGGGUGGGGAAUACAUCGGAAUCUACUUUUUCGUGGGGGAUAACGUAGGGAAACUUACUCUAAUACCGCAUACGACCUACGGGUGAAAGCAGUGGAUCUUCGGACCUUGCGCGAUUGAAUGAGCCGAUGUCGGAUUAGCUAGUUGGCGGGGUAAAGGCCCACCAAGGCGACGAUCCGUAGCUGGUCUGAGAGGAUGAUCAGCCACACUGGAACUGAGACACGGUCCAGACUCCUACGGGAGGCAGCAGUGGGGAAUAUUGGACAAUGGGCGCAAGCCUGAUCCAGCCAUACCGCGUGGGUGAAGAAGGCCUUCGGGUUGUAAAGCCCUUUUGUUGGGAAAGAAAAGCAGCAGGUUAAUACCACGCUGUUCUGACGGUACCCAAAGAAUAAGCACCGGCUAACUUCGUG